rnacentral:rRNA from 1 species
UACGGAGGGUACAAGCGUUAAUCGGAAUUACUGGGCGUAAAGCGCACGCAGGCGGUCUGUCGAGUCGGAUGUGAAAUCCCCGGGCUCAACCCGGGAACUGCAUUCGAUACGGGCAGUCUAGAGUCUUGUAGAGGGGGGUAGAAUUCCAGGUGUAGCGGUGUAAUGCGUAGAUAUCUGGAGGAAUACCGGUGGCGAAGGCGGCCCCCUGGACGAUGACUGACGCUCAGGUGCGAAAGCGUGGGGAGCAAACAGG